CGGGGUGCACCAGGCGCGAAAACUUUACAAUGCACGAAAGUGUGAUAGGGGAAUCCAGAGUGCCUAUACAUUGUAUAGGCUUUUGCCAAGAGUAAAUACCUUGGAGAAUAAGUGGUGGGUAAGACUGGUGCCAGCAGCCGCGGUAACCCCAGCGCCACAAGUGGCAAUCAUCUUUAUUGGGCCUAAAGCGUUCGUAGCGGGUCUGGAAAAUCUCUUGUGAAAUCGUUGUGCUCAACAUAACGGCGUGCAGGAGACACUACCAGACUAGAGACCGGGAGGAGUCAGAGGUAUGUCGGGGGAAGCGGUAAAAUGCAAUAAUCCUCGAUAGACCACCUGUGGCGAAGGCGUCUGACUAGAACGGAUCUGACCGUGAGGGACGAAAGCCAGGGGAGCAAACCGGAUUAGAUACCCGAGUAGUCCUGGCCCUAAACACUGCGAGCUAGGUGUUGCAUAUUCUCCGAGAAUAUGCAGUGUCGAAGUGAAGAUGUUAAGCUCGCCGCCUGGGAAGUACAGUCGCAAGGCAGAAACUUAAAGGAAUUGGCGGGGGAGCACAAUCACUAGUGAAUU
rnacentral:rRNA from 1 species